rnacentral:rRNA from 1 species
AACGAACGCUGGCGGCAGGCUUAACACAUGCAAGUCGAACGCCCCGCAAGGGGAGUGGCAGACGGGUGAGUAACGCGUGGGAACGUGCCCUUCGCUUCAGGAUAGCCUCGGGAAACUGGGAGUAAUACUGAAUACGCCGUAUUGGGAAAGAUUUAUCGGCGAAGGAUCGGCCCGCGUUAGAUUAGGUAGUUGGCGGUGUAAUGGACCACCAAGCCUACGAUCUAUAGCUGGUCUGAGAGGAUGAUCAGCCACACUGGGACUGAGACACGGCCCAGACUCCUACGGGAGGCAGCAGUGGGGAAUCUUGGACAAUGGGCGAAAGCCUGAUCCAGCCAUGCCGCGUGAGUGAAGAAGGCCUUAGGGUUGUAAAACUCUUUCGCCGGAGAAGAUAAUGACGGUAUCCGGAGAAGAAGCCCCGGCUAACUUCGUGCCAGCAGCCGCGGUAAUACGAAGGGGGCUAGCGUUGUUCGGAAUUACUGGGCGUAAAGCGCACGUAGGCGGGUUUGUAAGUAGGGGGUGAAAUCCCAGGGCUCAACCCUGGAACUGCCUUCUAAACUGCAAGCCUGGAGGUCAGGAGAGGCGAGUGGAAUACCGAGUGUAGAGGUGAAAUUCGUAGAUAUUCGGUGGAACACCAGUGGCGAAGGCGACUCGCUGGACUGAUAC